GCCCCUGAACUAACAUUUUGUGGCUCCAAGAAAGGACAAGGUCAUAGGCGUGAUCCAAACGGGAUUCCUUGACCAGCCUGACAGCUUGCUCCCUGUCAUUGAAAAGGGAGCCACAUCAGGAGCUCCAGCACAAGCAAAAGUCUAGAGCCCAGAUUCUGAGGAAGAGUCACACGGAGAAUCCUACAGAGGACCCCUUCCCCCAACCCCAGCCUGUGCUUAAUUAAGUGAGUGGCUUAAGGGACUUGCCUCCUCUUGAAGAUUAAGAGAAUUCCCUCAGUUUCAUCUCUUGGAAAUCUCACGUUCGUGCAAGGUUCUCAGCAAAUGCCGAAUAUUCCAUGAAACCCGCUUGCAGUCUCCAGCCAGCACUCACGGGCUCGGUCUUCGAACAAAGGAGCUGGAAAGGGUCACAUCUGUGAUUUUCCAAACCCCACAGUCCUCUUCACCUCUCUUAUCUCAGCCCAUGGGUAGUUGUGCCCGGCCUUUAUUCACCCACUGUGAACACGUGAACUUCUUAAGGUGAGACAGAGGGCAUGCUCUGCUGAACCACAUGUGGAGACUGAAUAAAUAGUCAUUGCUUCAUGAGUUUUAGGUUUCUCGUUUUAAAGAGUGACAUUUUAAAAGUAGAGUCUACCCAAAUGGAGACAUGAUGAAUGUAGUUCUUCAACCAAGUCCUCAGAACACGGAGCUUGAGAACUUAGAAGCCAUCAAUUGGCUUUCUCUCUCACAUGCGAAGAACCUCUGGUUCCCAGUGUCCUCGGUCUUGGUUCAGGUCAGCUGGCUGGCAAAGACCAGAGUUCGGCCAGCAGAUCUGUGGAGUGCUCUCCCAGACGUAUCUGUGGGUACAACUUAACAUGUGAUAGUUCAUCCUUGAGUGUAAAGUGCACUUCAUGACUGGUUAUGGUAACUAUUCAUAGUUCCCCACUCCCUCCCGUUUAGUACCUGUUUCUAAGCAGCAAAGUUGUGGUUCAGUGACUUCUGUCUGGAUAAUAUGAAAACAGGGCACCCAGCCAAUUUUGAUGAGCUAACUAUUUCCCUAAAUUAUCAUGCCUAAGCAAAGGGCCCCAAACCUGCUGUUCAACACUUAUCAUCGGAUCCGGGGGAUGGGCUGUGUUCAGGCAUAUCAUCAAAUAGCUGAAAUUUUACAUUUAAGAUUGUCAAGCAGUGAAAAUUGGCAUCCUUAGAAAUGACUGACAGUUCCACUGCCUCAUUUCUGCUACACUGAGUUAGGUAAAGGAAAAAAAAUCACCUUCACUCUUUUUACAGAUUUCUUGCUGAAGACCCAUGUGACAGGACUAUAAAUUUUCACCAGAAAUUGAUGGGAGAACGGACACUUCAAAGUGUCUGAAAGACUUUGCAAAAGGUCCCAAUUAACAGAAUGCAGCUAACACCUCAGAAAAUAAAAUAGAAUAAAUGUUGCAGUGGGAAUGAAUCUUGCUCAGAGUGCUGUGUUGUUGGCUGAUUGCCUGGUGAGAGUAGUGGCCAGGACUUGCCAGCUGGCUGAUCCACACGCCUAUAAAGGAUGCGGUCAGCUUACACCUUGGCAAACUAUGAUUUUGAUGGAAAUCUUAGAGAUCGGCAGGCGUUCUCCCUAGUAAAGUACCUUAGAUCAGGUCAUUGCUUUUGUUUGAGUGAAGAAAAUAUCCUGAUGGCCAGGAUUAGUAGGACCAAGUCGGCACUCUGCUCCAAGGGAGAAUCCAUUACUGGAUCAGAAUAGAUAUAUACCCUGAAGGAGACACAGGGUGUAAUUGAAGGUGGCACAUUCAUCUACAAAAUCCCCAAGUUAAACCAGUCAUGCCACUGAAGCAAACCAGCUGGCUCACCAGCAACCACACAUCUUCCCCCAAGUUCCUCUCAACAACCAGUUUGUCAGACUCUCAACUCCAAAGCUACCACUAUCCUAUCCUCUCAUGUUUACUCAUAGUCAACUGUGAGGAGUUGUGUUGCUUGUUUGUUCUGCGUAGAUCUGAAGACAGGGAUCAGGUGUAAACAUUCUAGUAGCCCCCAUGACGGCUAGCUUAACACUUGCCAUAUGGAGGCACUCAAUGAAUGAUAGACGGCCAAAGGAGCUUCCAUUGCCCAGAGUCCAUACCCAACAUUUAAAACUGUUUUCAAAACUUGACAAAACCUCUAUCAGUCCCCCAAAUGGAAUUAGUUUUUGAAAUGUAUUAAAAACUGAUUUUAACAUUUAUUUUUUAAAAACUAGCAUACAAAGUAGCCAGAAAAAAAUCCUGGGAACAAGUUUAAAAGCCAAAUACGGACCGGGAAAAGCAUUUGUAAGA